AAUCUUUACAGUGCUUAUGCACUCCACUAUUUUAGGUGUUAAAGAGUGAAACAACUCCUGAACUAAAGAAGUUAUGCUACCAUGUAGAGAGAUUUCCUCAGAGCCAUUGGAAAUGCUGAGCCUCGAGCAAAGCUCUUUAAUUAAUGAAAAUGCUGACAUUUUUACUGUCCACUGAAAACCAGGGGAGAGGGACACUAACAACAUAUCCGUCAAGUUCUUUUUCUGUU
rnacentral:misc_RNA from 1 species